rnacentral:rRNA from 1 species
UACGAAGGGGGCUAGCGUUGUUCGGAAUUACUGGGCGUAAAGGGCGCGUAGGCGGUGUGUCAAGUCAGGCGUGAAAGCCCCGGGCUCAACCUGGGAACAGCGCUUGAGACUGGCACGCUCGAGUUCGGGAGAGGAUGGUGGAAUUCUCGGUGUAGAGGUGAAAUUCGUAGAUAUUAGGAAGAACACCAGUGGCGAAGGCGGCUCACUGGUCCGGUACUGACGCUGAGGUGCGAAAGCGUGGGGAGCAAACAGG